rnacentral:rRNA from 1 species
GUGCCAGCCGCCGCGGUGAUACCGGCAGCCCGAGUGAUGACCGAUCUUAUUGGGCCUAAAGCGUCCGUAGCUGGCUACGCAAGUCCAUCGGAAAAUCCACCCGCCCAACGGGUGGGCGUCCGGUGGAAACUGCGUGGCUUGGGACCGGAAGGCGCGACGGGUACGUCCGGGGUAGGAGUGAAAUCCCGUAAUCCCGAACGGACCACCGAUGGCGAAAGCACCUCGAGAAGACGGCUCCGACAGUGAGGGACGAAAGCUAGGGUCUCGAACCGGAUUAGAAACCCCGGUAGUCC